UAAAAAUCCCCAAAGUCGACGGGUGAGAACUUGUCCAAUCGCACCUCUAUUGGUAUUUGGUAUCUAGUCUAGUCUUUCAAGCUUUCCGUUUGUUAACAAAGACUUUAAACCGAAGCUGAGAUCGCUUCACAGUUCUUUCUCUUCUCCAGAGAUCUCUCUCCAUCUCAUUCGGAGCUCAAUAUAUCAAAUUCAUCAGCUUAAAAAUGGCGGCCGUCGCCGUUCACCAGUUCGCUCAGUGCAUCACUUGCCAUGCUUGGAGUCCCGAUCACUCCAUGGUAGCAUUUUGCCCAAAUAAUAAUGAGGUUCACAUUUAUAAAUUGGUGAAUGACAAGUGGGAGAAAGUUCAUGUUCUUCAGAAGCAUGAUCAAAUUGUUUCUGGGAUAGACUGGAGUGGAAAGUCAAACAGAAUUGUUUCUGUAUCUCAUGAUCGGAAUUCAUAUGUUUGGAACCGAGAAGGACCAGAGUGGGUACCAACUCUUGUUAUUCUUAGGCUCAAUCGUGCUGCACUUUGUGUUCGGUGGAGCCCCAAAGAAAACAAGUUUGCUGUUGGAAGUGGUGCUAAAACUGUGUGCGUAUGCUAUUAUGAGCAAGAGAAUAACUGGUGGGUAAGCAAAGUUAUCAGGAAAAAACAUGAUUCCUCUGUCACAAGUGUUGCUUGGCAUCCUAAUAAUAUUCUACUUGCUACAACAUCCACAGAUGGAAAAUGCCGAGUAUUUUCUACAUUUAUCAAAGGUGUUGAUACAAGGGAAUCAAAAACAGGCUCUUCUUCAGAUCCAAAGUUUGGAGAGCAAAUAGUUCAGCUUGAUCUGUCAUCUUCAUGGGCAUUUGGGGUGAAGUGGUCACCAAGUGGCAAUACUUUGGCUUAUGUAGGUCAUAAUUCUAUGAUUUACUUUGUUGAUGAUAUUGGUCCUUCCCCUUUGGCCCAGAAUGUUGCAUUCCGUAAUUUGCCUCUUCGUGAUGUCCUAUUUGUUUCAGAGAAAAUGGUCAUAGGCGUGGGAUUUGACUGCAACCCGAUGGUUUUUGCAGCAGAUAAAUCAGGAUUAUGGAGCUUUAUCAGAUUCUUAGGUGAAAGGAAAGAAUCUUUGUCAGGUCCAAAAUCUGGUUCUCAGAAACAGUCAUCUCUUGGCACUGGAAAAAAAACGGUUGAAUCUCUGUGCCCAAAUGACACAUCCUCCUCCCAAUCAUGUCGGGAAAGUUUUCUGAAGCAUUUGGCAAAUUAUAUGGUCAAGCAAAGCACGGAUUGAGCAAUGAUACGGUUGAACCUUCAAAGAUACAGGGAGCUGUUCAUGACAACUGCAUCAAUUGUAUUGCACUUCUAAAUAAAAAAGGUUCCCAGACAAAGCGCUUCAGCACCUCAGGAAUGGAUGGGAAAGUGGUAAUUUGGGAUUUGGGAAACCAGCAAGAUCUUAAGGAGUAUCUCUAAGAACUGAUUCGUGAAAAGCUUUUUGCUUUUCAGUUUUUUUGUUCAGGUAACAGAGUAAUAGUGAAGCAUGGAUCUCAUCAGUCUGAAAUCAACGGAAGCUUAAAUACAUUAUUACAUUUAUUUAUUUAUUUUUUUUUUUGAUCUAGUCUUUUUUUUGUGUGUAUGAACUGAGAAUGAAAUUUGUGAAUAUAAAGUAAGUAAAUUUGACUCUUGAUUAACAAAA